GUUUCAGGUAUAACACGAGGAUUCAUAGUAAUUGCUGCUGGAGGUUUUCUAUCAGUUUCAGAUAUAACACGAGGGCUCAUAUUUGCUAUGGGAUGUUUUCUAUUGGUUUCAGGUAUAACAAGAGGGUUCAUACUAGUUGCUAAGCGAGGUUUCCUAUCAGUUUCUGGUAUAACACGAGGAUUCAUAGUAGUUGCUGUAGGAGGUUUUCUAUCCAUUUCAGGUACAACAAGAGGGGUGAUAUUAGUUGACGAGGGAGGUUCUCUAUCAAUUUCAGGUGCAGGACCAGCAUUGAUAUUAUUUGAUACGGUGGUUGUCCUAUUUGUUUCAUGCACAAUUUUGGAGGCCAUAUUUAUUGAUUGAUCUUCAUUAUUAAAUUUCUCUCGUCUUUCA
rnacentral:lncRNA from 1 species